ensembl:lncRNA
CUCCGCCCCCGCCCUGCGGGGGAGAGGGAAGGGGGCGCCCUCUCGAGUAAGCACCCGGCCGGGGGACGAAGACAAGAGGUCUCCAUCUCAGCAUCUGGACUCAGGUCAGUGACUGACUGUAUGAUGGUGGACUUCAGGAUCAUUUCCUACGUGGGUGAGCUGGUCACACAACUUUAAAAGCAGUAAGUGGGGCUUAUGAAGAACUCCCAGGAGUGGGUGAUUGGUGGAAGCCCCGGGACCUACCUCUCCGGAGCCAAGAGCAAGACCCACAGCUGGACCAGCAAUGGUAAUUAAGCCACCAUGGUGCCUGUGAAAAAGCUUGUGGUGAAGGUGGGCAAGAAAGAAAGAAGCAGGUCCUGAAGUUUCCUCUUGACUGUACCCAUCCUGAGAAGAUGGACUCAUGGAUGCUGCCAGUUUUGAGCAGUUUCUUCAAGAGACAAAGUGAGUGGAAAAGCUGGGAACCUUGGGGAAGUGGCAGUGACAAUCGAAAGAAGCGAAAGCACGAUUACUGCAACUUCCGUGGUGCCUUUUUCUAAAAGGUAUUCGAAAUAUCUCACCAAAAAAUAUUUGAAGAAGAAUAAUCUGCGUGAUUGGUUGCGUGGAGUUGCUAACAGCAAAGAAAGUUACUAAUUGCACUACUUCCAGAUUAAUCAAGAUGAAGAAGAGGAAGAGGAGGAUGGAAACUCAGUUA